rnacentral:piRNA from 7 species
CUGGUUCGAUUCCGGCUCGAAGGAC